GAGACCCACGCCCACAGUUGCCAGCGUACUCUCNGGAAUGACGGGUACACUGUGGGGACCGCCGCUGCUAAAGCGGAGGAAGGAAUGGGCAACGGUAGGUCAGUAUGCCCCGAAUGUCCCGGGCUACACGCGGGCUACAAUGGUUGGUACAAUGGGUAUCUACCCCGAAAGGGGAUGGAAAUCUCCUAAAGCCAAUCUUAGUUCGGAUCGAGGGCUGUAACUCGCCCUCGUGAAGCUGGAAUCCGUAGUAAUCGCGUUUCAAUAUAGCGCGGUGAAUAC
rnacentral:rRNA from 1 species